ensembl:lncRNA
CAGAAAAGUCAGCAAAGUUGCUAUUUUCCUAAUUAAAAAAACACAUCCUAAACCGCUAAUGGUGCCAGAACACUCACACUCCUUCUGUUGGAUAGGAGCCCUGGCAACGCCUUCAUGCAGAGCUCAACCUCCAGCCCCCGCGUGACACAGAGGGGACAAUCACAGAUGUCCCCAUGCAGCCAUGUGUGUCCCCACCUGCACAGCUCCAUGGGCUGCAUGCCUGAGGAUGGCUCAUUCUGCAGAUUUCUCUCUUCGAGGGCGGCGUUGCUCCAUGCAUCUUUGGGGACCUGCCAGAGCUUGGCCAAAGCCGAAACCCUUCUGCUCUUUGACACAGCGGCUGCUCUCUGCAGGAUGCUUCCUGCAGGCUCGUGGAGGCAGGUGGCAAGCAGAAAUCAGGGCUGGUGGUGUUGUGUGAUGGUCUUACAAGUGGUUGGAAAGCAUCAGGAUUAGCUUGGGACCAUGCCAAGGGAUGGUGCCUGAUGGUGAUGCAG